CACGGGGGGAGCAAGCGUUGUUCGGAAUCACUGGGCGUAAAGGGUGUCUAGGCGGUCAGGUAAGUGAGAUGUGAAAUGCCCCGGCUUACCCGGGGACCUGCAUCUCAUACUGCCUGGCUUGAGUAUGGGAGAGGAUGAGGGAAUUCCUGGUGUAGCGGUGAAAUGCAUAGAUAUCAGGAGGAACACCGGUGGCGAAAGCGCUCAUCUGGCCCAAUACUGACGCUGAAGCACGAAAGCUAGGGGAGCAAACGGG
rnacentral:rRNA from 1 species